AGAGGAUGGGGAGUUAAAAAAAGGGGUUAGGGUUGAGGAUUCCCCGAUCCUCCCCCUUUAAAUCUCCAGCGCUCGGAGAUGAAGAGGUGGGGAGCGGAAAGAGGGAAUCCGGUUUCCUUUAUGGAGCAUCCCGGCGGCAGGCUUACCUUAAUUUUUCACAAACAAAAAAAAAAAAUCCUUACUUUACCAAAGAGGUGGGGGCCAGAGCAAAACGGUAGAGAUUGGAGGCCACUGGAAUGGAGAUGCAGACCAUGAUGAUAGAGAUGGAAGAAGAAGAAUGGUGAGAUUGUAGAUUGAGUGUUUGUCUACUCUCCUUUUGAAAGGAUCAAGAUCUUUUAUCUUACCAACUCAAAGUCGGUGAUGACAUUGUAAAUUAAGAAUACAUAACAUUGAUCAUGAUAUACAUUUAGAAACCAAAAAUCAUGUUUCUUUGAAACCUCCUAACCAUUCAUCAAGUAGUACAAUCACCAACAGUUAUAAUAAUAUUAAU
rnacentral:lncRNA from 1 species